GCAGUGGUGGUUCAGUGAUAGAAUUCUUGCCUUCCAUGCAGGAGACCUGAGUUCGAUUCCUGGCCAGUGCA
rnacentral:tRNA from 1 species